AAACACCUGAGGCUCAGGAAAAGGGUUUGCGCAGGGGCAAGGGGCUGCUCGAGGAUGUCACAGACGGGCGCGGCGGCGGUGAGGCUGUCACAGCGCGGCCUCCCCCCCUCCCGGCCUCGGGCCCCAGUCACUCACAUGCGGGGCCCGCGCCCUCUCGGGCUCCUCCCGCCUCGGGGACAGCAGCCGCCGGGCAAGGAGGGUGAAUUUGAUUCUUUGUCCAGCUGGAAGAAUCUUGAAGUGCAGAGUAAAUUCUUCCUCUUUGAUGCCCCACAUUUAUCCUCAUACCUACCAAGCUGAGGUUUAUGGAAAGGUUAACUUGCUCAAGAUUACACAAGAGUGGUGCGGUCACAAUUUGAACCCAAGCUCCUUAUUUUGCCCUGUCUUUAGUGCCAAGAUCCUAAAUGCUUUCUAUUAGAGAUCUGCCAUCAAAAUAUACUGGGUUCAGACUAAUAAAGCUAACUACAAAGGCAGUGUGAUACUGAUGCAGGGAUAAGCAAACUAAUUAAGCAGGAUAGAGAGACCAAAAUGAGAACCACACAUAUAUAGACACUUGCUUUAUGGCAGAGAGGUACAACAGAGGAGUGAGGAAAGGAUAAUGCUUCCAAUAAAUAGUUCUGAUAAAUAAA